UGUAGUGACGGCGGAGGACCUGGCUCCGUUUGAGCCGAUUUCGAAUCAAUCUCAAUAUCUUGAGCUACAAGCCACCAAUACUCUUGAUUCUUGGCUCAUAUGAUUCGCAUCAACUUUCUGAACAAGCACCAAGAAGAACCAGACCUGAAUCGACCAUUUUCACGUUCGUCGGAGCUCGACCGGUUUUUGAUCGAAAAUCAAAACCUUUCGAUCGUGAUAUCUCGAGUUGUAGUGCAUCGUUUUGAUUGAUUCUUGAACCAGUGGGUUUGCCUUGAUGUUCUUAACAACUCUCUAGAAGGAAUCGAGGCCUGAAAUUGAAGUUUUUACGUCGAAAUCUUGGCUCGCCGGUUUCUGCAUUUCUUCGCCGGUUUCUGGAAAAUUUCCGGCCACCUUCAACUGUUCUAGGUGAUUGACGGUCUCCCUUGGGUGAACGAUUUCGGUGUGUAUUGUGUUGAAUUGAAGACGCAGCGGGAAUAUCGAGCGGGUAAUCCUGCAGGUCAGGAGAAUCAGGGCGGUGAUCGAGCGGGUUAGAGUAUUUGUUAUAGUUUUACAGCAUUUGUAAUAGUGAGGUGAGUUAAGCUCAUCGAGCCUUACAAUUUGAUUUGGUGAGAGUGUGUUGUAAUAAUUAACUUGAGGAUUUGAUUUAUUGUAAUAUUGAGAGGUGUGAAGUGUAGUUGUUUGUGAGAA